AGAAAACUCUGCUGCCUUCGUAUCUCAAGAUGCACGCAUUUACUUCGCACACACACGCACACACUCACACACACACAGAAAUAUUGAAGAAUCAACAGUUCCCAGGCCUCAGGAGAGAGCUGAGCUAAGACCAUUUGCACAGACUCCAAAGGGCUAGAGACGCCACAGACUCGCUUCCUUCCUUUGGUGACACCGACACACCAGAGGUUUAAAACCCUUGAGGAUGUUUCGCCUGGCUGUGGUUUCAGUAAAGAACACCAGUACAGUCAGAGGACAAUGGAGGAGGUGGUAAACAGGAGGCUGAGAAAGAAGAGAAAGAGAAGGCCACAUGGGAACACACGUAAGGCCAAGAAUGGGCUAAUCCUUUUGGGAAAUGUCAAACAAAUCAACAUGAUGAUUCCUGCAGUGAAAGCAGGCAGGCUGGUAAAGUUGGGGGCAGGGCGGCUCUCUCUCCCUUCCUUUCUGUCUCUAGAGCCCGUUGACAGCUGCUCAGGGAGGCCUGGGGCUGCUGCUUAUGGCUGAGCCGAGCCACAGCCGCAUCCUGGAAGACUCAGCGAAGAAGCCAUUCAAGCUCACGGCCUCAAACUGGAGCAACCCGAAAUAAAAACGGCCUUGACAAAGAAGACCUGAUGUGUGCUCAGUGUGUUUACUUGUGUUAAUAUUUGAGGAAACCCGGCGUGUCUGACGGGGAAGGACGGAAGCAUGACACACGAAUGCGCCACUGUUCAAAGGUUUAAAGUCCAUCAUAAGUGACGGCCGCUUCCUGCCGGGAUCCACACUGUGAUUACUCAGGUCUCAUGGCUUGACCCACAGGCAGUCACGAAAAUUGUCAAGAACCACACCCUUGUCCUUGAGUAAUGUAUCUAUUCUCUUCCUGGAAUUGCAUAAGGCAAGUCUGGGAAAGGCUGCAUACUUGGCAAACCAUAUGCUGGGAGAAAUUCAAAAGUUGCAUAAUGUAGUUAUUGUUAAGGAACAUCUAAAUCCUGGAAUGUCCUUUACCAAGAAAUAGAAUCACUUUAAUAGCCAGCGGGGAGACACAAGUUUCAAUACUUAUUCUCAACUCGCUAAGCUAUAAAUGCACAAAAGAAGGACAGAAAAUGAUCAAUAUAAACAGCAUUUAUUGUCCUUAAUACUUUAUAAAUGCAGAGAGAGAAGGGGAAGCAAGCUGCUACUGAAUGUAAAUAAGAUACCGAAGUGGUUAAACCCCAAAUGAUUAGCCAGGAUCAAUAAAAACGACUCAAUUUCAAAAGCCUGGCCAGCAAACUUAGGCUGUCAAUACAGAUGACAACGGUGAGAAAUGACUCUGAGGCAUCAAGGACAAAGGAGGUGACAGCUCUCCUCUGCACAGCCCUGGAGACACGCCAAGGCCUGUUUUUGAAGCCACCAUGCUCUUUGCCUAGCAACUCCACGGACAGGUGGAGAGCGUCACAUAAACACAGACACGUCGGGCUACAUGCUUCUCAUUUUUACCAUGACUGUAACGCAUGGAGGAGUUUAUUUUCACACAUCUGAAGAGCAAAGGUGUGUUCAGAGGUAGAAAACAAAAAAGGAAAAAAAAAGAAAACAACUUCCUUAUAAGUAGCAUUGUGUUUUUUAUUGGUCUAAUAAGUCCAACUUACUGCUCUGUUGGUACCAAGACUAUGGAAGUCUAUUUACAACAACAAGAAAUAAAAAUGUUCAUGGUAAACCCAAACUACAAAAUGAAAAGCUACAAAUAAGAUAUUUAUCCUGAUAAAAUUCAGAAUUUGACCUUUACCUUGUUGUACUUUUGCAUUACUAGCUUACUAGUUUUUAUUUCUAUCCAUUAUUUUUUAUUGCUUAACUAAUAAUCGUCUGUUACUUUUUUCACUACGCAAAUUUUUACUUUUGAAUUGACUAAUAACUUGAGAUCAACAUCUUGACUUUUUUUUGCUCAUAAUUUUGAAUUUUUUCUCUCAGUUUUGAUUUACCGGGAGCUUUUUUAAAAUUUUUGAUGUGAUUUGGUAAAGAGUUAGUUUAUAAUUUUAGUUUUAGUAAGUUAGUAUAUAUGAAUACUGUGAAUGAACAUCUCUGGGAACUCCUUCAAGACUGCUGGAAAACCUUUUCAGGUGAUCACCUCAUGAACCUCAUCGAGAGAAUGUCAACAGCGUGCAAAGCCGUAAUCAAAGCAAAGGGUGGCUAUUUUGAAGAAUCUAAAAUAUAAAACGUGCUUUGACUUAUUUCACACUUUUUUCUCUACUGCAUAAUUCCAUAUGUGUUCAUUCAUAGUUCUGAUGCCUUCAGUGAGAAUCU